rnacentral:rRNA from 1 species
GCUAGCGGCAGCCUAACACAUGCAAGUCGAACGGUAACUUUUGGUGCUUGCACCGAAAGACGAGUGGCGAACGGGUGCGUAACGCGUAUGCAAUCUACCUUUUACUAGGGUAUAGCCCGGAGAAAUUUGGAUUAAUCCCCUAUAAUAUCAUGAAUUCGCAUGAUUUUAUGAUUAAAGCUUCGGCGGUAAAAGAUGAGCAUGCGUCCUAUUAGUUAGUAGGUGAGGUAACGGCUCACCUAGACUACGAUAGGUAGGGGUCCUGAGAGGGAGAUCCCCCACACUGGUACUGAGACACGGACCAGACUCCUACGGGAGGCAGCAGUGAGGAAUAUUGGACAAUGGACGAAAGUCUGAUCCAGCUAUGCCGCGUGCAGGAUGACGGCCCUAUGGGUUGUAAACUGCUUUUAUACAGGAAGAAAAAAUCCGACGUGUCGGAUCUUGACGGUACUGUAAGAAUAAGGAUCGGCUAACUCCGUGCCAGCAGCCGCGGUAAUACGGAGGAUCCAAGCGUUAUCCGGAAUCAUUGGGUUUAAAGGGUCCGCAGGCGGUUUUUUAAGUCAGAGGUGAAAUCCUACAGCUCAACUGUAGAAUUGCCUUUGAUACUGAAAGACUUGAGUUAUUGUGAAGUGGUUAGAAUGUGUGGUGUAGCGGUGAAAUGCAUAGAUAUCACACAGAAUACCAAUUGCGAAGGCAGAUCACUAACAAUUAACUGACGCUCAGGGACGAAAGCGUGGGUAGCGAACAGGAUUAGAUACCCUGGUAGUCCACGCCGUAAACGAUGGAUACUAGCUGUAUGUCUACCUCAGGUAGAUGUGUGGCCAAGCGAAAGUGAUAAGUAUCCCACCUGGGGAGUACGAUCGC